GCGGACGUGGUGCACGGUGCAUCGCUGAAUUUAAUAAAUCGGCUACCAUCCAUUUGAUGCAGCAGCUGGGGUUCGACUCCCCGCGUCCGCA